GACGUAGGGCGCGAGCGUUGUCCGGAUUUAUUGGGCGUAAAGAGCUCGUAGGCGGCUUGUCGCGUCGACUGUGAAAUCCCGCGGCUCAACUGCGGGUCUGCAGUCGAUACGGGCAGGCUAGAGUUCGGUAGGGGGAGACUGGAAUUCCUGGAUGUAGCGGUGAAAUGCGCAGAGUAUCAGGAGGAACACCGGUGGCGAAGGCGGGUCUCUGGGCAACAACGUGACGCUGGAGGAGCGAAAGCGUGGGGAGCGAACAGG
rnacentral:rRNA from 1 species